rnacentral:lncRNA from 1 species
AUCCAGCUGAUAAUGAUCCGUAGAAGAGUUGGUUGGUGAAUGGUCAAAGACUCAAGCAUUAUUUGGAAGGAGAAGUGGAACAGUUGUCCACGGUAAUGAAGCAGGUUGACCCGUAAGGUUAUCGGGUUAGGCUUGUGACGUUAAACAAGCGCUUACUAGGAGGCAACCCAGUGGUUUUAUUUUCUUUUUCCUUUGUAAUUUGAACUUUUA